GAUGAACGCUGGCGGCGUGCCUAAUACAUGCAAGUCGAGCGAACGGACGAGAAGCUUGCUUCUCUGAUGUUAGCGGCGGACGGGUGAGUAACACGUGGAUAACCUACCUAUAAGACUGGGAUAACUUCGGGAAACCGGAGCUAAUACCGGAUAAUAUUUUGAACCGCAUGGUUCAAAAGUGAAAGACGGUCUUGCUGUCACUUAUAGAUGGAUCCGCGCUGCAUUAGCUAGUUGGUAGGGUAACGGCUUACCAAGGCAACGAUGCAUAGCCGACCUGAGAGGGUGAUCGGCCACACGGGAACUGAGACACGGUCCAGACUCCUACGGGAGGCAGCAGUAGGGAAUCUUCCGCAAUGGGCGAAAGCCUGACGGAGCAACGCCGCGUGAGUGACGAAGGUCUUCGGAUCGUAAAACUCUGUUAUUAGGGAAGAACAUAUGUGUAAGUAACUGUGCACAUCUUGACGGUACCUAAUCAGAAAGCCACGGCUAACUACGUG
rnacentral:rRNA from 1 species